GCUCACCCUCAACAUCACAAGACCCGCCCCAAGCCUUUGCUCCUUCUUUCUCGACUAACCUACAGAACAUAGAGAACGACCCUUCCUGAGGUUUCUUCUUCUUCGAACUAGCAGCGACCAAGCGGACACGAACCAGACCCCGUCUUCAAAUCCCUCUCUUCUACCUAGAGCAUUCAUAUACAUGAAAAAGAGGAAACCAGUUGGAGAAGAAUGAAACAGAGAAAAGUUGGACUGAAAUUCGGGGAAAAUGGACGGAGAUUUUCAGAUUUGUGCUUAUCUCCUUAGUUUGAGAUUUCUUUCUAUCUAAAGUUCAUAAAAAUACAUAAAAGCAAACUCAGAUCCUCCUUAUUUCAUCUCUGCCGCAAAUCCGAAAAUACAAGAAAAAAUAUAGGUUGUCUUCUCUUCUUUCCAAAUUCUGUUUUGGUUACAAAAAUGGAGAUGGUUGAAGGUGCUCAAGUUCGAGUAGCGCGACUGUUGUUCGAGGUUAAAGUCUGAGUACCGGUGUGAAUCAGUCGUAGGUUCCGGUUGUUGGUUUGCGUCGUCUCUUUGGUGAUUCCAUUUGAAAGCUGUCAUUGCCGAUUCAUUCAAUUUGGCUCGAGUCACUUUUUGUAACUUGCCGAGGAAUUAAUUGAAAUUUUUGACAGGAAGGAUUUGAAGCAGCAGUUUUGUUCGUUCUUGUGUAAAUUCCAAG
rnacentral:lncRNA from 1 species